CCUCGACCCCUUCCUGCCGCUCCACCUCUUGCCGCCGAGCCUCCUCCCGGUCCCGCUGCUCCCCUCCGCACACGCCUCCUCCCCCAAGGCGCUCUUCCGCAUCCUGCGCCGCGCGCGGCACCACCCGCGCCUACCGCCGCUCGACCUCCAACUCCAACUCGCGGCAACCGACGCCUCCUCUGCCUUCCGCGCCAACCCCCGGCUACCCUCUUCGUUCGGCUCGGCGGCCAGACUCCCGUCAGACGCCUCUUCGGCAGGACCGAUGGCCCGGCUCUCAUCUGCAUUCGGCACGGCGGCCGAGACCUCGUUUUACGGCCCUCCGGCAGGACCUAGUUUGCAGGAAACCAUCCGGCGAUGUCCAGUCUGAUUCCACUGCCGAUUGUGAAGCAAGGAAGCUCCUGAUGACAAGUCGAUGUGAAUUUUUAGUAGGGGAAACAUCUAGAUACGAACCAUUGGAUAGGUUUAUUAUCUUAUUAGAAUUGUUGAUUUUCUUGAUAUAGCAUGCACAUAUGCAUGGGUACGGUACUGCUAUCGCUCAGACUAUGGAGAGCAAUCCAUGAUUCAGGUUGAGUUAUUCAUGAAUGAUUUUUUUCCGGUUUAUACCAGUUGCGAGCACCAUUGAUACACACCUAUCCAUCCAGGCGGGCAAUGCUCAGUUUUGUUUUCAUGUAAGUAUUUUCCCUGCUGUGAUCAGAUACUACCGCUGGUGGAAGCUGUGGGAUUUCCUUGCAGUGUGCAAGAUGAACCUCUGUAUCAGUGGCGGCAAUGUUCCCGUCAGCAAGAGAAGUUUUGAUCUACUUCCACCAGCAGUCCAUUGGGGGAUCUCUUUGUGGCUAUUAUCUAUCAGCCUGCCAAUAUUGUACGUAUUUGUUUAGCAAUUGUAGACUGCAGGAUGGGUGAAGCAGAAGCUUAAUUAAGUUGAGGAAUGGCAUCCAAGAUUUACCCCCUUCACAGUGAGAGCCCUUCACAUACAACUUGGGGUGUCAGCUCUGUUUACUGGUAUUGACGUAGUCUUUGUUGACAUAGCUGGAGAGCAUGAAUGCAGAAGUGGAGAAAGUUUAAACUGAUACAAGAGUCCUAGAAAAAAGAUUUGAGAAGUAACUAUUUUGACUUUCGUCAUAAUUCUAGCAGAUGAACCCCUAUUGUACUACGUGUUUAUAUCCAACCCAUAAGUAGUACGCAUGGACACACCUAAAAUGAAAUUUGGCUUUACGCUAAAUGAAACAAAUCACCUUGGGUUUGGAACAUACAUGUACCUGAUGCUCACGUGUGAUAUUUGUUGUCUCAUGAGAUACUUGAUUAUUUGUAAUUACCUAAUAUUACUGGUGAUGGGUCAUGUAGUCUAGGCCCUGAUAGAAAACGAUCUGUGAUCGUUUUGCAUAACAGUGAUUUUUUCCUUCUCAUUUAUGGUUAUAUGUAGAUCAUAUAGGGUAAGGUUCUCGGAAGUAUGUGUACAGUUAGCUUAUG